CUGAGCAGACGGUGUGUUCUGCCUCCUCACUGCACAUUGGGUUUUUCUUUCUAAUAGAUCGAUAAACUUCUGGCUAAAAAACUUCUGGCUUUUCGUUGGAGCUCCAGGUCUCCGGGUCUCCAUGCCUUCCGCACAUAGACUACAAUCUCAGGUGGUGCGACAGCUAUCACACUGCUACACACUCCGCUGGGAACCUUGGCUGAAAUGAACACCAGAAAUUUCAGUCAUUGUUUCUGGUAGUGGGCGCAGCAGACAUUCGACUUGAACGGCAAAUUUUCCUUCACUCCAUCAUCGCGUCUUGAGGAUUUUUAUUUAUUUAUUUUUAACUGAUUGAAUGUGUAUGUAUAUUUUUUUAGUAUCAUGAUGGUAUUAUUAUCGUUGUUGUUAUUAUUCAAUACUAGCUACAGCUGUCGAAUAAAUAUCAAAGUCGGUCACACUGUGUUUUCUUUAUAGGAGGUUAAUUUCCUGAUUUAAAUCUCAAUAACCUAAACAAGCAUAAGGUUAAUGUUCAGUUCAAUCCAUCUGUCAUAUUAAUAAAACGAGAAAUGUAUAUGACACAAAUAAAGGUUUGAUUUUUUUUAUGAUGUUGAAACUGACCUAAAACUCAGAAUUUAAAAGUUGAAUAAAUCUAUUAAAAUAUUAAAUGUUAGAUAAGUAAGAUUAUAAAAGCAAUUCUUUCAUAUGUAAAUAUAUACACACAGAGAUAUGAAGCUGUAUACACAGGGGGCUGGAGCCGAUUGGCUAGCAGGACGAUGCUUCCUGUUUUCCAAACAAACAAACAAAAAAUAAAUAAAUAGAAUUCUGUUUCA